CGACGACGUAUGGUUGUUAACACAUACUUCCUUUUGUUUCUUAUGGAAAUUUGUCCAUUGACAACAAACAUACACAUCAUCUACUUUAUAUAAGUAUUGUAAAAAUUACAACGUAUUUUGGUGAUCUUGCAAAAUGAUCGUAAUCCCGAAAAUCGUAAACAUAUUUUCUUAUCUUGAAAGGGGGCAAGAAGGGUUCCAUUAACAGGCCAAUAAAUAAGAUUACAGUUAAUUAAAAAAAAAAUAAAAAAAAUAGGGGUAUUUUUUCUCUCAUAAUAACAGUAAACAGAUUCAAAACAAUGUCAAUUUCAAGAAAGCAGACAACAGUUAAUUAGUCAAUAACAGUACAGCAUCAAUGAUCUUGAAUAUAUGCCACUUUUAACUAAAAUAUAAAAGCACAGAACCAGGACAUAGAAGCACAGAACCAGGAC
rnacentral:lncRNA from 1 species